AAAGGGUGUGGGACCUAACUUUGUUAGUAGAGAAUGACAAUAUUAUAAUUGUUGGGUUAUUCCUAAUUGGGAAAUGUAACAAGUAUUAAGUAUUGUGCGGCGGAAGAAAAUGGAAAGUGUAACAAGUAAUAUGGGACGAAGAAAGUGUACCGAUAACUAAUUGUUUAAUGCCUUUUUUGAAAGGUAAUGUAAAAUAUCUCAUAAUAAAGUAAUCUAUAACUAUUACUAAAAGAAAUACCGCUGACAUCAUCUUUUCCUCCAAACUAUACACAUGUCACUCUCUCCUCCAAUAUUUUCCCGCCCAAACUGCCUACAUCCCUCACUUCUCUUUUGCGUCAUUUCUAUUCUUCGUUUACGCUUUCCAAUAUUUUUUAAAAAUCACGCUGGCCAGUUACCAAUUUAUGGCUGUGACCAUUGCUAUUUCCUAGGAUUUUUAGAUCUACUGUUUCAAUUUCCCUUGCUUUAAAAGUUUUUUAUGGAAAAACCAUGGAAGGAAACCGAGAAGUUACUGAUUCAAUUUACUCCAAUACUUGUAAUUUUUUUGCUCAAAUUCUUAUUAGUUUUUCCUGUUUCUCGAACAAAUUGCUAUGAUUGAUUAUGUAUUUUUGAUUUUCGGGUAGCUUAAACUUCGGAUUGUUGCAGCUCUUGAACAACUCCAAUGGCAGCUUUGGGUAAUUAGAACUCCAAGUUUAUUUCUCGAAUGUGGGUAAUCACGUUCUACCACUAUGGAAACUGUACUAUUUUGAAUCUAUUUGAAUUCUGAUUUAUGUUUUAUCAACUUUUUUUUCAUUUGAAAUCUUUUUUGUUUUUGAGAGUGAAUUGGAGGAUGGGAUAAAAGUUCUUUCUAUUUUGACAUGGGUGAAGAUGAAUAGCAGAAGAUUCUGGCAAAGAUAUGAGGACGACGUUCUGAAUAGGAAUAACGACGAGGGCGGCUAAGUCGGCGGUAGCAAGGUGUGUCCAUGUCGUCUGUAACGGUGUUUCCGGAAUAAAUUUGAGUUUUGAUUGGAUUUAUCAAUAUACUCAGUAGUUUGCAGUAAUUGGAGGAAUUUUGAUUGGAUUUAUCAAUAUAGUUUGAAGUGGGUUUGGACGGAAUACAUAUUUAAUAUUUUGUUUUGAAGAUGUAUGAAACUUGAGAUUAUUAUACACUUAUGUCGUUCCAUUUAAUUAUUUAAUACAUCUAUGCUUAAUGAAGA